UACAGAGGGUGCGAGCGUUGUUCGGAAUUACUGGGCGUAAAGCGCGCGUAGGCGGCCCGGUAAGUCCGCUGUGAAAGUCAAAGGCUCAACCUUUGAAUGUCAGCGGAUACUGCCGGGCUAGAGUCCGGAAGAGGCGAGUGGAAUUCCUGGUGUAGCGGUGGAAUGCGCAGAUAUCAGGAGGAACACCAACGGCGAAGGCAGCUCGCUGGGACGGUACUGACGCUGAGGCGCGAAAGCGUGGGGAGCGAACAGG
rnacentral:rRNA from 1 species